CAACUUAUGUCGAAUUCGUUUUUGAACCUGGGUUGGACCUGGAUUGGCGGAAAAUGUGUAAACAAACAAACGUCAAACAAACUCAAACAAACUUUAGUACAAGCGAAACCGAAGUCGGGUUGGGGUUGACACUGUGAUCUCAUCCAGUUCCAACCCAGGUUGGAACUGAAUCAAAAACGAAAACGACAUUAACUUGUUGGAGCUGCAAUCUCAGAAAAACAAGGACGGUCUUCUGGAAAGUAUCCAAAAAGCGGCAGAAGGAGCUGCAAUUUGAAUAUUUACGUCUGGUCGAGCCGGGAAAGUUGUGGUUCAGACUGGUUCAGUGGUUCAAGUUGGGGAAACCACCAGUCCGGGGUCCGAGAAUACCCUCUCCGCAACCCACUCAAUCUGCCGAUGGAUGCUCUUCCCGUGAAUCGAUUGAGAGGAAUGGUGUAAGGACCAAGACGGAAGGGAAGUCAAUAUACAUCAGCGUUGAUAGUAUUGCGCAAGGAUUGGGUUUGGUGGAGCCGGAAGAAACCAACAACAACAAGUUUCUUCUGGAAAUCAUGGCUGUUCAAUAUGUAUCAUUCCGGUUACUACUUCGCAACCACCAUUGUAGACACAUCCAUUCUGGUCACCGUCAGCAUUAGAGAAUGUAAUGAUUUAUUUUACAAUAUUAGUUUGUAUUUGUUGUAAGUAUUAAAACCACAUAAAGGGGCGGGUGUUGGUUGGUUGUUUUGCUGGGCUCUACAAAAUAUCCGAAAUAUCCGAAAAUUGCAUGCACCAUCUUUUCCAAAGUUGAAACUUUCAAAUAGCACAUAAGUGGUUUUUACAUUUAAUUUUAGGUUGACAUUGCCAGGGAUAUUUUUUUAAUCAUACAAUUUGAUCCAAAAUUUGAGAUAAUAGUUCGAAAGUGAUUUUGGUCACCUGGUUCGCCGCAUUCAUCAAUAGAGCUUUGAGGUGACACUUUGCAAAGUUUGAAAUACUUCAUAAAUGAAUCUUGCAUUUAAUCAGAAAUAAUCAAAACUUAUUCCAAGUUCUCUCUGAAAUACUUUAUAGAAGAAUCCUACUUUUUAUCAUAAAUAAUCAAAACUGGUUCACCAAGUUCUCCCAAGUUGUGAGGUGACACUCAACAUGUCUCUUUUUUAAAUCUAUACCAAGUUUGAAAUACUUUAUAGAAGAAUCCUACUUUUUAUCAGAAAUAAUCAAAACUGGUUCACCAAGUUCUCCCAAGUUGUGAGGUGACACUUAACAUGCCUCUCUUUUAAAUCAUGUUCUUCCAUACAAAAGUUUGAAAUACUUUAUAGAAAAAUCCUACUUUUUAUCAGAAAUAAUCAAAACUGGUUCACCAAGUUCUCCCAAGUUGUGAGGUGACACUCAACAAGUCUCUUUUUUAAAUCCAUACAAAAGUUUGAAAUACUUUAUAGAAGAAUCCUACUUUUUAUCAUAAAUAAUCAAAACUGGUUCACCAAGUUCUCCCAAGUUGUGAGGUGACACUCAACAAGUCUCUUUUUUAA